rnacentral:lncRNA from 1 species
GGGUCAAGGACAAGAACUGUGCAAUUGGGUAAAUAAAUUUAAAUAAUGCAACAAAUGCUCUACAGAUUCCUGAAAAGAAGUUAUUUAAAGAAUGUUGUAUCAAUAGCGAGACGGAUAUAAAUCGUUUCCCUGUCCGAACACGGUUGUGUAGUUGUAUAUCAUAAACAUUUUGAACACUCAACUUCAGUAUCGGAUUUUAUCAUGAACAUAGAACAGGAAACGUCAAUGUAACAAUACAUUUAAUAACCGGGAAACUCUUGAGGUUUGGAGAAAAGAUAAAAUGAAAUCAUUUAUGCAUGGAACUUUUAAAAGACGAGUCGUUUUCAUUUAAACGUAUACUUUAAACGCGUAUGAUGGGGGAAGGAUGCAAAUACACUCCUAGUUUGGGAUUAUUUUUUUUUCGAAAUAGUUCCCUAUUUUGACAAUUACUUUCAACGCAACAGUAACUUAAGUAGAAAAUCGAAAAAUUCAUAUCAAUUUUAGCAAGGAAAAGACAACAGCAUUUAUUAUUUCUAAUUGGAUGUUUUAUUGCCAUCUCAUUUUAUAGAUGAGGAAUCAUAACACUGGACUUCUUUUGAAUUAUGACAUUUAUACGUAUCAAUAAUGAGGCAUUUGAAAAGUAUAUUCGUAAUUUAAUGAUUAUUAACAACUUGAUCUGCAUUCAUACGCAAUCUUCACCUCCUCAAAAUGAUACCGAACUCCGAGGAAACUUCAAAAUGGAAAGUCCUUUAUCAAAUGGCAAAA